rnacentral:lncRNA from 1 species
UAGGUAGUUUAUCUCUUUAGUUUGGAGUGGGUUCUUCAUCCUUGUCUUCUUUAUUCUCUUUUUUUGAGUCUUCUCCAUUGUCUUGUGGUGGAUCAUCUUUCGGUAUGAGGCUAUCCAUCUUAUUGUUGAGAUUUUCUGUAUCCUCAUCUAAAACAUCUUCCUUUCUAGAAGAUUUAUCGUUAGAUUCAUCAACAACUACAUGGAUAGAUUCUUUAAUAACAAGAGUUCUUUUGUUGAAGACUCUAUAUGCCUUACUU